rnacentral:rRNA from 1 species
AGAGUUUGAUCCUGGCUCAGGAUGAACGCUAGCUACAGGCUUAACACAUGCAAGUCGAGGGGCAGCAUGGUCUUAGCUUGCUAAGGCCGAUGGCGACCGGCGCACGGGUGAGUAACACGUAUCCAACCUGCCGUCUACUCUUGGACAGCCUUCUGAAAGGAAGAUUAAUACAAGAUGGCAUCAUGAGUCCGCAUGUUCACAUGAUUAAAGGUAUUCCGGUAGACGAUGGGGAUGCGUUCCAUUAGAUAGUAGGCGGGGUAACGGCCCACCUAGUCUUCGAUGGAUAGGGGUUCUGAGAGGAAGGUCCCCCACAUUGGAACUGAGACACGGUCCAAACUCCUACGGGAGGCAGCAGUGAGGAAUAUUGGUCAAUGGGCGAGAGCCUGAACCAGCCAAGUAGCGUGAAGGAUGACUGCCCUAUGGGUUGUAAACUUCUUUUAUAAAGGAAUAAAGUCGGGUAUGCAUACUCGUUUGCAUGUACUUUAUGAAUAAGGAUCGGCUAACUCCGUGCCAGCAGCCGCGGUAAUACGGAGGAUCCGAGCGUUAUCCGGAUUUAUUGGGUUUAAAGGGAGCGUAGAUGGAUGUUUAAGUCAGUUGUGAAAGUUUGCGGCUCAACCGUAAAAUUGCAGUUGAUACUGGAUAUCUUGAGUGCAGUUGAGGCAGGCGGAAUUCGUGGUGUAGCGGUGAAAUGCUUAGAUAUCACGAAGAACUCCGAUUGCGAAGGCAGCCUGCUAAGCUGCAACUGACAUUGAGGCUCGAAAGUGUGGGUAUCAAACAGGAUUAGAUACCCUGGUAGUCCACACGGUAAACGAUGAAUACUCGCUGUUUGCGAUAUACAGCAAGCGGCCAAGCGAAAGCGUUAAGUAUUCCACCUGGGGAGUACGCCGGCAACGGUGAAACUCAAAGGAAUUGACGGGGGCCCGCACAAGCGGAGGAACAUGUGGUUUAAUUCGAUGAUACGCGAGGAACCUUACCCGGGCUUAAAUUGCAGAUGAAUUACGGUGAAAGCCGUAAGCCGCAAGGCAUCUGUGAAGGUGCUGCAUGGUUGUCGUCAGCUCGUGCCGUGAGGUGUCGGCUUAAGUGCCAUAACGAGCGCAACCCUUGUUGUCAGUUACUAACAGGUUCCGCUGAGGACUCUGACAAGACUGCCAUCGUAAGAUGUGAGGAAGGUGGGGAUGACGUCAAAUCAGCACGGCCCUUACGUCCGGGGCUACACACGUGUUACAAUGGGGGGUACAGAGGGCCGCUACCACGCGAGUGGAUGCCAAUCCCCAAAACCUCUCUCAGUUCGGACUGGAGUCUGCAACCCGACUCCACGAAGCUGGAUUCGCUAGUAAUCGCGCAUCAGCCACGGCGCGGUGAAUACGUUCCCGGGCCUUGUACACACCGCCCGUC